rnacentral:rRNA from 1 species
UACGUAGGGGGCAAGCGUUGUCCGGAAUCAUUGGGCGUAAAGCGCGCGUAGGCGGCCCGGUAAGUCCGCUGUGAAAGUCAAAGGCUCAACCUUUGAAUGUCAGCGGAUACUGCCGGGCUAGAGUCCGGAAGAGGCGAGUGGAACUCCUGGUGUAGCGGUGGAAUGCGCAGAUAUCAGGAAGAACACCAACGGCGAAGGCAGCUUGCUGGGACGGAACUGACGCUGAGGCGCGAAAGCGUGGGGAGCGAACAGG